rnacentral:SRP_RNA from 1 species
GGUGGCCCCAUUGGUAGCCUCGCAACAUUGUUCUAUGAAUCCCGCCAGGACCGGAAGGUAGCAACGGUAAUAGUUAUAAUGUGUGCCGAGGAUGUGCUGAUGGGGUCGCUUUUU